GACGAACGCUGGCGGCGUGCUUAACACAUGCAAGUCGAACGGAAAGGCCCUGCUUUUGUGGGGUGCUCGAGUGGCGAACGGGUGAGUAACACGUGAGUAACCUGCCCUUGACUUUGGGAUAACUUCAGGAAACUGGGGCUAAUACCGGAUAGGAGCUCCUGCUGCAUGGUGGGGGUUGGAAAGUUUCGGCGGUUGGGGAUGGACUCGCGGGUUAUCAGCUUGUUGGUGAGGUAGUGGCUUACCAAGGCUUUGACGGGUAGCCGGCCUGAGAGGGUGACCGGCCACAUUGGGACUGCGAUACGGCCCAGACUCCUACGGGAGGCAGCAGUGGGGAAUAUUGCAGAAUGGGCGGACGCCUGAUGCAGCAACGCCGCGUGCGGGAUGACGGCCUUCGGGUUGUAAACCGCUUUCGCCUGUGACGAAGCGUGAGUGACGGUAAUGGGUAAAGAAGCACCGGCUAACUACGUG
rnacentral:rRNA from 1 species